GUGAGUAAACCCGGAGAAGUUUCUACUUUCUAAAGCUUAGAAGAGAGAGAGAGAGAGAGCGAUGUUGAAAGCUCUGAGAAUCUACGCGGAGGUUCUGAGAUUGGUGCGGCGGUUGCCCAAGGACUCUCGGCCUUACUACGCCAAGUACGUUCGGGAGAACUUCGUCAAUUACAGAGAGGUCGAGGUCUCCGAUGACCAAGCUCUCCAAGACCUCUUCAAUAGGGCUUACAUUCAUUCCCUCUGGGUCCUCAACAAGUACUCUGUUGAUGAAUCCGCCGCCGAUAAGUUGAAGAAGAUCUGCAGCGGUUGAGGAGCUUCUUCUUCUUGUUUCUGGUUUCUUCCAUGUAAAGCCUCAUCAGGCAGAGGACAAAAGACAUGGUGGCAUGCUGAGGUUGAUAGAAUUAAUCUUUUCUCCGACAGAAGAACAGAUUUGCCAAACAUCUUCUUCAUAAUGUGCUGAUUUAAGAAAAAAUAAAAUAAAUAUUAAUAAAUGAAGAUCAUAAAGGAAUUUUGAAAGCAGAAUUAUAUUAAGGACUACCUCGAAGGCUAGGAUUGUCAGCAAAGACACUACUGUUGCUUCAUGGGACGCAGAUUUCUAUGUUAAAUUGUUGAUGAUGCAGAUACAAAUUUAGGUAUAUUUGGAGCAGCUCUAGCUGGAGCAUCAGUCGAAUCCCUGCUAAUAGAUCACUGAAAUCUGGUCCAGACCAUACAGUGCUUUCUCGAAAGUAAGCUGUCCACUCUUAAAAUUAUUUCUUCCAGUGAGACAUCAUUGGCAAUCUUCCCCUUGCCUUGCUCAUCAAGAGGACGGUAAGGAGGUCCACUAUUGGAAGUUUGGCAUGGAAGCAGGUAUAUUCAUCAUGCCACAGGGAGAGUCUAUGCUAGCUCAAAAGACUUGGCUUCUUACAUGUCAAUUAACCGGAUCAGAGCAAACGUAAACCUCAAGAAGAUACAGAUCAAGAGAAGCCAAUUGCAUGCUUAAGCAAAUUAAAGGGUGAGCAAGAAGGAUGCUUGAAGCUUAUAUUGAUUGUAAGGUCAAUCUUUUACAGCCUUGUACAUUGCACAUAGAUUCUAGUUUCAUUUGUAACUUCAGCUUAUCUUUCUGAGAAAUAUAAAACUGCAAUAAAAUGCAAGUGGCCACCUUAUGAAGAUACUCUUAAGAGCUUGAGCAGCGUGGAAACCUAUGUGCAGCAAUUGGUAAUCAUAUUGAUCCCAUUUCAAAAUCGAUAAACAGAGGCUCUGAUUAUAUAUUAUAGACAUAGAUGUAUCUGAGUUGUCACAGUUGCAUUUAUUUCCGUCUUGUAUAGUAAUAGCAAACACAAUCUGGUUUAGAAGUUAUGGCAAUGGGAAUUAGAAUGUCAGAAGGAAAAGGGUAGAGCAAGACAAGGAAGUGCUUAUUGUUUAGUGCUGCCUCAAAAGAAAAUUUUGAAUUAAAGGCUACUAUAGACAUUCUAUUGUAUCCACUUUGAUUUACUGUUAUCUUUUACAAUACAAA